rnacentral:rRNA from 1 species
CGAAUGCUGACAUAAGUAACGAUAAAGCGGGUGAAAAGCCCGCUCGCCGGAAGACCAAGGGUUCCUGUCCAACGUUAAUCGGGGCAGGGUGAGUCGACCCCUAAGGCGAGGCCGAAAGGCGUAGUCGAUGGGAAACAGGUUAAUAUUCCUGUACUUGGUGUUACUGCGAAGGGGGGACGGAGAAGGCUAUGUUGGCCGGGCGACGGUUGUCCCGGUUUAAGCGUGUAGGCUGGUUUUCCAGGCAAAUCCGGAAAAUCAAGGCUGAGGCGUGAUGACGAGGCACUACGGUGCUGAAGCAACAAAUGCCCUGCUUCCAGGAAAAGCCUCUAAGCAUCAGGUAACAUCAAAUCGUACCCCAAACCGACACAGGUGGUCAGGUAGAGAAUACCAAGGCGCUUGAGAGAACUCGGGUGAAGGAACUAGGCAAAAUGGUGCCGUAACUUCGGGAGAAGGCACGCUGAUAUGUAGGUGAAGCGACUUGCUCGUGGAGCUGA